AAUUAAAGGAGAAGUAAAACACUAGUUGUAUCUCUCUUAGAAAACGGUCCUCUCUCUUCAAAAUUCCCAAUUCUCGCGCAGCUCAAAUAGCUCAAAUCUAUCAGGAGUAGUCAUCUGAAGCCCUUAUCUCUGAGGAAUUGACAGAUCUCCACCCCUCCGCACAGAAGGAUGGCUUCUUCGCCAAACUUAUUUUGUGAAUUUUCGGCUUUGAUAUUCAUCUCUCAGAUAUCUUCUUUUCCUGGGAAAAGAUGAACUAAAAUAGUCUAGCAAGCUAAUACUUACAAUUAUAGGGGAAAUAAAUAUAGUAAGUUUAUUCAUAUGGGCUCCUUCUACGAGGA